ensembl:snoRNA LOC120096797 small nucleolar RNA SNORA48
CCACCCUGUAAUGGGCUGAGAGACACCCUGUGGGUGGUGUUCUUAUCUCAGUCAGGGGCAGAGCAAAUGGCAGUCCUUUGUUCCUCCUAGCUUGGUGUCCGGCUUGGUGGCCAAAGCUGUCUUAUGCCUAGGACUCAUAA